ensembl:lncRNA novel transcript
UAGUCCCAGGAUGGCUGGGUCACUGGCCACCUGCGGUUGUCUUCUUUCUCUUCUCAUUACCACCUUCCAUUUUCCCUCAAGUGGGAGAAAAAGUGAGUACAGAACGCAGACCACCUGCUGAGGUGGGUGCUGCAGAGAGCCACUGAUUAAAGGUGGAGAUGGAACUCCUUUUCUCAAUUUCAUCUUCUUGAACCUAAUACCAGCUGUGUUUCAAGCUGAGCUACUACACGCCUGCUGGGAGGCCAUUUGCUGCAUGACACUAUGAAAAUGAUGGCGUUUGCUCCUUCAAGUAAGAGAUAAUCAGCUUAUUCAGAGCCUAAAGGAAGAGAAAGUUUUUUCAAUUAGGUCUGCUGGAGUUUGCUGGAGGUCCGCUCCAGACCCUGUUUGCCUGGGUAUUACCAGCAGAGGCUGCAGAACAGCAAAGAUUGCUGCCUGGUCCUUACUAUGGAAGCUUUGUCCCAGAGGGGCACCUGCCAGAUGCCAGCUGGAGCUCUCCUGUAUGAGAUAUGAAAAAUGAGCAUUUAAAAUGAAGAAAGUAAUUAGAAGAGGUUUCAUGUGAUCCAGGAGCAAAAAUAUAUCAAAAAGAAGGAAAGAUGGAUGCAUCCAACAUUAAAUACAGAGGGAUAUAAGAGAAAAUGUAGCUUAGUGCAAAUGGAAAAGAAAACCAAAACUGGAAUCCUUUUUGCAAUAAAUGUUAUUGCUUACAUGUUAAUUGUCAGUUGUAUGGUUCUGUGCAGCAGAGGUUCUCUAAGAUACAUAAGGCUUAGGAUUAGGUAAAAGUAGCUUUUUUAUAUGGACACAAUAAAAAAUAUACAUUGAGCAGAGUUUAACUGCAUUUCCUAGAUUCUGAAUAAAUAAUUCAAUAAUUGAUCUACUAAUAUCAAUAGAUUUUGCAUUAUAUGUUAUUGCUUUUCUCACUGAAUUGGGUAAAAUUUUUUUUUAUUUUUGCUUAUUUCCUUUCUACAAUAGAAAAUAUCAGUUAUAUGUAGUUAACACGUGGCCCAUGGUAGUUUCAGUUUAUUUGCAUUUAGCUAAACCCUUCAGAAUGACCUUUAUACCAGACUCUUUCAUCUGCAAUACAAGCAUAUUAUUCUGCAGGGCAAAUGUUUCUAAGGAAAUUUUAUGGAAAUGGAAAAUCUCCAAACAUACCAUCUUAUAUCCAAAGGAGAAAUUGACAUGUCCAUAAAUAACGAAUGUGAUUUUUUUCAAGUCCAGUGAAACCAGCAUUGGUUGUCUCUGUUCAGGAUGGAGGCCAGUAAUAAAAAGAGAUGCCCUAACUCUGCUAUGCAUGCCCAAGAGAGAAAUGUGCUCACAUUAUCUCUUAGCUAUAAAGAAUGAAAAGGAGAAAGUGUUUGUGGGAAUAAAUGGAAAAUCAUUAGUUGGCUUCUGUUAAGAGGGCAAGGGAGAGAGCUAAUGCAUUAAGGCCAAACUAGCUUCUCAGAAUAUGGUUAUCAAACUUAUCACCCUCCUCCCUCAACCGUCUCACUCUCUUCAUUUUCUAUUUCCAAGUGACAUGAAGCCUUGGCUUCUAAGAUAGUGCAGUAAUGAAUACCUAAAUUCUGUAUGUAAAAGAGCUCAACCAUAAAAUCAGCUACCCAUACACCUGUAAAGCAGGAAGAGAAAAGAACCUUUUCCUUAGAAUGGACUCUAUACAAAUGCAAAGACAGUAAUGGAAUAAUAGGAAAUAAAAAGACAGAGAGGCACAAAAAUGCAUAUUUUGCAAAACUAUAUAUACCAAAUAAACUAAAAAAUGCAGUGUUUACUUUCUUAAAAGAAACAGAAAACAAGUGAUAUAAGUAAAGAAACAAGUGGAAAAACAUUCCCGUCUUUGAGUAUAUUACAGUCUUUCUUGCUACCAAAGACUUUUUAAAAUAUGAUUUUUUUCAUAAUUAUAGACAUAAUUAGGGACUUUGCUUCCUAAUGUUUUCCACGAUACUUAAAAUGAAGAUAGUCUGAUGAUCUAAAUUAAUCCUUAGAAUGAAGGCUUGUUAUUCCUGCUAGGAAAGAUUUGUCUCCCUAGACUAUCUUAGAAGCUAAAACCAUGAACCAGGCUGUAUUGUAGUGUCUGCAAUGCAGCACUGAACAAGACAGAAAAUGUCCCUGUUCCUGGGGAUUUUACAUCCUAAAGUUUGCAUUUGUUCCUGUUCUUGCAUUUCUCCCCGCCGUUUAUUUUACCUUCAUGAUUUUGUGUAUCUCUUUCUCCCUUUCUCUGUUUUCCCUAUGUUCCCUUUUUCCCACUUAUUAUUUUCUGAAUUGGACAUAAAUUAGAACAAAAUAUUUUUGAUUAUGCAUUAUAUUUGUUGAAAAAUUGUUUAG